CUUGAUCGACCCGAGCCACAGCGGGUCCUCGCCGGCGCGCUCUUUCCCGUACGUGGCAAGCAAAGCAUGCGCCUC
rnacentral:antisense_RNA from 1 species